GAAAGGAACCGUUCCUCUCCAGCUCCAUCCAAACCCAUUUUCGAUCGAAAGCGGGGAAGGGCUUCUGGCGCAGCCAACGAAAAAGCAAAACAAAAACCACACCGCCGGCCGCAGGAGCGCAGCUGGACAGCGAGAGCAAAAGCAGCCCUGCGGGCGCCGCCAGUCCCUCAAAAAUGCUCGGAGGAGAUUAGUCUCGGCGGCAACGAAAGCCUCCCGACUCACACCAAGGCCUUUGGCGCCCUUUCGCUUUCCGCGGCGGAGGCCCCUCGGCGAGCUUUAACGGGAGGGAGAGGCACCGGCGGACGGGGCUUCUGGCUGGGCAACUGGGCCGACCUCUCCAGGGGCCAUGAAGGAGACCGGCUGGCUGGUGGCGGCGGUGGCGUCCGCCGCGGUGCCCGCCGUCCUUUUCUACCUCGGCUUCGUGAGGCGCGUCACGGGGGCUUCGCGCACCGUCUUCCGUCGCCGAGAGGCCGGGCGGGCCGAAGGGACGGGAAGGCCGCCGGCCGACGGGUGGGUCCCCAGACUCUCUGGCUUCCUUCUGCGGCUUGUUGUACAUUUGGCCAACACUAA
rnacentral:lncRNA from 1 species